AUUGAACGCUGGCGGCAGGCUUAACACAUGCAAGUCGAGCGGGGUGAUGGUGCUUGCACUAUCACUUAGCGGCGGACGGGUGAGUAAUGCUUGGGAAUCUGCCUAUUAGUGGGGGACAACAUCUCGAAAGGGAUGCUAAUACCGCAUACGUCCUACGGGAGAAAGCAGGGGAUCACUUGUGACCUUGCGCUAAUAGAUGAGCCUAAGUCGGAUUAGCUAGUUGGUGGGGUAAAGGCCUACCAAGGCGACGAUCUGUAGCGGGUCUGAGAGGAUGAUCCGCCACACUGGGACUGAGACACGGCCCAGACACCUACGGGAGGCAGCAGUGGGGAAUAUUGGACAAUGGGGGGAACCCUGCUCCAGCCAUGCCGCGUGUGUGAAGAAGGCCUUAUGGUUGUAAAGCACUUUAAGCGAGGAGGAGGCUCUUUUGGUUAAUACCCAAGAUGAGUGGACGUUACUCGCAGAGUAAGCACCGGCUAACUCUGUGCCAGCAGCCGCCGUAA
rnacentral:rRNA from 1 species